CCUACGGGAGGCAGCAGUGGGGAAUAUUGGACAAUGGGCGAAAGCCUGAUCCAGCCAUGCCGCGUGUGUGAAGAAGGCCUUCGGGUUGUAAAGCACUUUCAGUGGGGAAGAAAGCCUUGGGGCUAAUACCCUCGAGGAAGGACAUCACCCACAGAAGAAGCACCGGCUAACUCCGUGCCAGCAGCCGCGGUAAUACGGAGGGUGCGAGCGUUAAUCGGAAUUACCGGGCGUAAAGCGCGCGUAGGCGGUCUGAUAAGCCGGUUGUGAAAGCCCCGGGCUCAACCUGGGAACGGCAUCCGGAACUGUCAGGCUAGAGUGCAGGAGAGGAAGGUAGAAUUCCCGGUGUAGCGGUGAAAUGCGUAGAGAUCGGGAGGAAUACCAGUGGCGAAGGCGGCCUUCUGGACUGACACUGACGCUGAGGUGCGAAAGCGUGGGUAGCAAACAGGAUUAGAUACCCGAGUAGUC
rnacentral:rRNA from 1 species